AACUUGGAGGCGCGUCUGCCUUGUAAGCGCUAGGUCGCGGGUUCGAUUCCCGCCCGGGUUU
rnacentral:tRNA from 1 species